rnacentral:rRNA from 1 species
UACGGAGGGGGCUAGCGUUGUUCGGAAUUACUGGGCGUAAAGCGCACGUAGGCGGCUUUGUAAGUUAGAGGUGAAAGCCCGGGGCUCAACUCCGGAAUUGCCUUUAAGACUGCAUCGCUAGAAUUGUGGAGAGGUAAGUGGAAUUCCGAGUGUAGAGGUGAAAUUCGUAGAUAUCUGGAGGAACACCGGUGGCGAAGGCGGCGUCCUGGACCAAUACUGACACUGAAACGCGAAAGCCAGGGGAGCAAACGGG